GUGAAGAACGCAGCGAAAUGCGAUACUUGGUGUGAAUUGCAGAAUCCCGUGAACCAUCGAGUCUUUGAACGCAAGUUGCGCCCGAAGCCAUUAGGCCGAGGGCACGCCUGCCUGGGUGUCACACGUCGUUGCCCCCCCAUCUACUCCUUCGGGAUUGCGGGGGGCGGAUGAUGGCCUCCCGUGCGCCUCGUCGCGCGGUUGGCAUAAAUGCCAAGUCCUCGGCGACGCACGCCACGACAAUCGGUGGUUGCGAAACCUCGGUUGCCCGUCGUGUGCGGUCGUCGCGCAUCGAGGGCUCGAAAAAAUUGCCGGGCUCCGGCUCGGCUUUCAACGCGACCCCAGGUCAGGCGGGGUUACCCGCUGAAUUUAAGCAUAUCAAUAAGCGGAGGA
rnacentral:misc_RNA from 1 species